GAAAUAGUGGGUAAUACCGAAUACGUUCGGCAGGGUAAGCCUGCCGAGGAAAAGCGCUUCGGCGCUGCCCUGAGGAUGAGCCCGUGUCCCAUUAGCUAGUUGGUGAGGUAACGGUCCACCAAGGCUAUGAUGGGUAGGCGGCCUGAGAGGGUGUACGCCCACACUGGGACUGAGAUACGGGCCAUACUCCUACGGGAGGCAGCAGCUAAGAAUAUUCCGCAAUGGACGAAAGUCUGACGGAGCGACGCCGCGUGGAUGACGAAG
rnacentral:rRNA from 1 species